rnacentral:rRNA from 1 species
AACGAAUGCUGGCGGCAUGCCUAACACAUGCAAGUCGAACGAAGGCUUCGGCCUUAGUGGCGCACGGGUGCGUAACGCGUGGGAAUCUGCCCUUAGGUUCGGAAUAACAGUUAGAAAUGACUGCUAAUACCGGAUGAUGACGUAAGUCCAAAGAUUUAUCGCCUGAGGAUGAGCCCGCGUAGGAUUAGCUAGUUGGUGUGGUAAAGGCGCACCAAGGCGACGAUCCUUAGCUGGUCUGAGAGGAUGAUCAGCCACACUGGGACUGAGACACGGCCCAGACUCCUACGGGAGGCAGCAGUGGGGAAUAUUGGACAAUGGGCGCAAGCCUGAUCCAGCAAUGCCGCGUGAGUGAUGAAGGCCUUAGGGUUGUAAAGCUCUUUUACCCGUGAUGAUAAUGACAGUAGCGGGGGAAUAAGCCCCGGCUAACUCCGUG